rnacentral:misc_RNA from 1 species
ACAUGUUCAAAGAGUGCCUGGCCUA